AACGAACGCUGGCGGCAUGCCUAACACAUGCAAGUCGAACGAGACCUUCGGGUCUAGUGGCGCACGGGUGCGUAACGCGUGGGAACCUGCCCUUAGGUUCGGAAUAACUCCCCGAAAGGGGUGCUAAUACCGGAUAAUGUCUUCGGACCAAAGAUUUAUCGCCUUUGGAUGGGCCCGCGUUGGAUUAGCUAGUUGGUAGGGUAAAAGCCUACCAAGGCGACGAUCCAUAGCUGGUCUGAGAGGAUGAUCAGCCACACUGGGACUGAGACACGGCCCAGACCCCGGCGGGGGGCGGAAGGGGGAAAUAUGGAACAAGGGCGAAAGGCUGGACCCAGCAAUGCCGGGUGAGGGAUAAAGCCUUUGGGGUUGUAAAGCUUUUUCCCCGGGGAUGAAAAGGACAGACCGGGGAAAAAAAGCCCGGCCAACCCCCG
rnacentral:rRNA from 1 species